rnacentral:rRNA from 1 species
ACGCUCGACACCUACGGGAGGCAUCAGUUGGGAAUAUUGGACAAUGGAGGAAACUCUGAUCCAGUGACGCCGCGUGAAGGAAGAAGGUCUUCGGAUUGUAAACUUAUUUUGUCAGGGAAGAAAAAUGACUGUACCUGAAGAAAAAGCACCGGCUAACUACGUGCCAGCACGCCGGUAGGUAAUCGUGACGGCGGGUCUGGACAGGC